rnacentral:tRNA from 2 species
GGUCGACACUCCGACCAGGUGGGAAGUCCGCUUUCGAGGUGGGCGAGGUCGACCGCCACGGUAGCGGCCGUCUGUUCGGGAUGGGGUUGACCACCA